rnacentral:rRNA from 1 species
AAUCAACGCUGGCGGCGUGCCUAACACAUGCAAGUCGAACGAGAAAGUGGAGCAAUCCAUGAGUAAAGUGGCGACCGGGUGAGUAACACGUGACUAACCUGCCCUAGAGUGGGGGAUAACCUCGGGAAACCGGGGCUAAUACCGCAUAACAUCACGAGGGGAAGAUCAUUGUGAUCAAAGGGGCAAUUCGCUCCGGGAGGGGGUCGCGGCUGAUUAGUUAGUUGGCGGGGUAACGGCCCACCAAGACGAAGAUCAGUAGCCGGCCUGAGAGGGCGCACGGCCACACUGGAACUGAAACACGGUCCAGACUCCUACGGGAGGCAGCAGUGGGGAAUUUUGCGCAAUGGGGGAAACCCUGACGCAGCAACGCCGCGUGGAGGAUGAAGUCCCUUGGGAUGUAAACUCCUUUCGAUCGGGAUGAUAAUGACGGUACCGGAAGAAGAAGCACCGGCUAACUCUGUGCCAGCCGCCGCAGUAAGAC